AUUAUUUUGGCAGAUUAGUGCGAUAGAUUUAGAAUCUAUUUAUGUAACGUGGUUACAAGUAAUA